rnacentral:rRNA from 1 species
UACGUAGGGGCGUAGCGUUGUCCGGAUUUAUUGGGCGUAAAGAGCGUGUAGGCGGCCAGGUAGGUCUGCUGUGAAAACUCGAGGCUCAACCUCGAGACGUCGGCGGAAACCAUCUGGCUAGAGUCCGGAAGAGGAGAGUGGAAUUCCUGGUGUAGCGGUGAAAUGCGCAGAUAUCAGGAAGAACACCCGUGGCGAAGGCGGCUCUCUGGGACGGUACUGACGCUGAGACGCGAAAGCGUGGGGAGCGAACAGG